rnacentral:rRNA from 1 species
AUUGAACGCUGGCGGCAUGCUUUACACAUGCAAGUCGAACGGUAACAGGCCGCAAGGUGCUGACGAGUGGCGAACGGGUGAGUAAUGCAUCGGAACGUGCCCAGUCGUGGGGGAUAACUGCUCGAAAGAGCAGCUAAUACCGCAUACGAUCUAUGGAUGAAAGCGGGGGACCGUAAGGCCUCGCGCGAUUGGAGCGGCCGAUGUCAGAUUAGGUAGUUGGUGGGGUAAAGGCUCACCAAGCCAACGAUCUGUAGCUGGGCUGAGAGGACGACCAGCCACACUGGGACUGAGACACGGCCCAGACUCCUACGGGAGGCAGCAGUGGGGAAUUUUGGACAAUGGGCGCAAGCCUGAUCCAGCAAUGCCGCGUGCAGGAAGAAGGCCUUCGGGUUGUAAACUGCUUUUGUACGGAACGAAAAGGUUUGGGUUAAUACCCUGGGCCGAUGACGGUACCGUAAGAAUAAGCACCGGCUAACUACGUGCCAGCAGCCGCAGUAACAC